UAUCUUCAAAUCUAAUCACCGAUAUGAUCUACGAUAAAGACCGUCGUUCAACCUACAAUAAUAUCCAUCUCUCGAUAAAUAUAUAGAACAUUGACCGCAUUAAUUUGGUGAAAGAAUAUACAAAAAUCUCGGAUAAACGAAUGAUCUUCAAACUGCCCUCCAGUCCUAUGCUCGCGGAUCGCUGUCGUAAUCUAGGAAGCGACUGUCGGCAUUUUUAGCACCGUACGCAGGCUUGCGGCCCCAGUUUCCAUUCAAGAUUUGCGGUUGUGAAACGUUUGCAGCUCCCACAGUGGGACUGAAUAUCGCUCUGUUCUUAUUGGCAUCAGCACCCUGGGAUGUUAAACUUUUGUAAUAAUUAAAUAUUAAAUCAAUAUUUUAAAUUAAAAUUAAUUUGCUGUGCUCUAUUGCUCAUGUUUAUAUGAAUUGUUUAUAUUUGUCAAAAUCCUGACCUCUCUCAGCACCUCAAAAUUCGCCAGCCUUCCAUCUUGGUUAAGAUGGAAAUCAAGACCUUAGAGGGAGGGAUCCAUUGGGAGGCUAAUAAUAGGAUUUAAAAAUUUUGACUAAAGCAAUGAAAAUUCUUCAAAUCAUUAAACAACUUUUAUUUUUUGUAUGCAGUAGGGAGGCUGAAAAAGGGCCAUUCGGAUUUUUUAUUAUUCGAAUAAUUGAUUACUGAAUGAUACCUAUAGAUGCUCUUGACCAUUAUAUGGCUUACAAAGUUGUCUUUUAUUUUAACAUUUCAUUCUUUUUUCUUCUUUAUUUCACAAAAAUAUCCUAAAUUCAGAAAGAAUCACUGUGUGUCUAUGUUCUCUUCUCGUUAAAAUGCAAUCUUCCUUUCAAAAGUUAAAAAAAUUGUCAUAGAAAAUUUCGAGAUCAAAGUAUAAGAGCAGCAUUUCUUUUAAGCAAUCUUCCUUUCAAAAGUUAAAAAAGUAGUCAUAAAAAAUUUCGAGAUCAAAAUAUAAGAGCAGCAUUUCUUUUAAGCAUUAGUUUUUCUUGCUCUAUGGUUUAGUUAUCCUAAGAGAGAUUUUGGUAUAUCAAUCCUUCUUUUCCAAACUAAUCUGAAAUCAUCCCCUUUUUUUUGUUAUUAAAAGAAAUCUAGGAUUUUUUUGAAAUUGAGACAACGUGAUCCUUAUCAUUCAAUUAAACAUUAGCUCUAUUAAUUUCCUUAUUUUAUAAUACAAUCAUAGCAUUAAUUUUAUUGUGCUAUUUUCAAGAAAUUUGUGUUAUAAUAAUAAAAAGUUAGUUGUAUUUAUUGUAUUUGACAUAAUUAAACUUAUAUAGUUAAACAUUAAUUAGAUGAAAAGCACUAUUUCGUUUCAUUUGCAAAAAUUCUAUGUUCAACAAAUUUUCUUUAUGUGAGAAAAACAUUGAUUGGGAUAGGAUAGAAAAGGACACAGAAAUCACACCUCCAAAUAAAAUGCUAUAUAGGCACACAACUUGGCAUUGAAAAUCUUUAGAGCAGGUUGGUGAAGGGUCCUACUUUCUUAACACAAAUAGGUAUUGAACCAAAUUUCUCAUGAUAGAUCUUGUGGUAUUAAAUUUUGUCAUGCAUUUCAACGAUCUUCAUCACAUCAAGCAAAGUCAUGCAUGUUGCUAUCAAUCAGGCAACAAGAGGCUUUUUUUUUUCUUUUCCAAGGCAAGAAAAAGAAAAGAAGGCCGGUACUUCGAAUUCUCAUGACUCGCCAUGCAUGGUCGGCUUUAAUAGGGACAUUGAAUGGCAUUAGCUUAGUAGUUUUAGAUUCUUGAUCCCAUUAACAAAACUCAAUAGAUUCGAAAUUCAAAUGAAUAUGUGGCUUCAUUAUGGAAUUUCAGGAUAGUAAAAGGGGUGGACAAACCACAACACCUUCUCAUGCCUUAAGAGUAACUGGAAAUUCUAUAUAUAUGUUUUAAUGAGGCGUCAACAUUGAAUAGCGACCACACAAAUAAGCUCGAUGCAACAUUAGCAUGCAAUGAAAAAGAAGCCAACACGAUAAAAGAGAACCAGAAAAGCAAACAUGCAGGUCUUCUCUAUCAGUUUCGCACCCGUCA
rnacentral:lncRNA from 1 species